UCUGUCAUCAAUGAACAUAGAAUCGAGCACAACCAUGAUUUUGACUAGAAUAACGUUUUGAUUUUAGAUGAGGAAAAGAACUAUAAUAAAAGAUUAAUUUCACGUUUUGAACCAAAUUAGACGAAAUUCAAUUGUAAUAUUGCAAUGACUCCAAAGCGAGUUGAAACAUUCAAAAUUACGAAAUUAAAGAAGACAUCAAUGUUAUAAAGAACAAAAGUGUGUUCAUUGCAUUUUUUGGGAGAUUCAUUUAUGGUACUAAAAAGGAAAUCGAAAGUUACAGAGGACAAGAGAAGACUACGCCUUUUCCAGACUGCUAUACCAACUUUAUUUUCAACAUCAACAGAAAAGAGGACGAAUAUUAUGGUAAACAUGGAUUUUUAAAUUAUUCAUUGAGAAUUUCCACUUGUCAGUAAUCCAGGCAGAAACGAGAAUGAAGAAAUCAGCAGUGAGAUUGACGGAUAAAUCUUGCGGCACGUUACUUCUAACAACAACGAAACUGGUGGCAUUGCGGUAACAUCAAUAGUGGAUCCUAGAAGUAAUCCAUGAUUAAAUGAAUCGUACUGAGUAACUCAUACAUCACCAAGUACAUUAUGUUACAUACUCAGGACUGAGUUCAGUCACACGUUUCCUAGGAGAUUUGAGUUAUAUACGUACAACAAGAGAGCGAACACUCCAAGAAAGCACAAACAAUGCAACGCGCAUUUGAAUAAAAAUCCUAGAAGGAAUCUUGAGCUUGGAAACUACCGCUUUGUCAACACAUAGACAACGAUUUUUGAUGGAGAAUUGUGAUGCAACAUCAAUAGCAAUAGAUUUCGCAAUGCAAAUACCGUCCGAACAUCCUAGAGGCAUCGAAGCAACAAUUGCAAGAGGAAGACCAACAAUUACAAGAGAAAGAUGAAUAAUUGAAAAAGAUAUUUUAUUGAAAAGGAACAAAUGCUGCAAUUGAUUAACGAUGUUCAAGCACAAUCGGCGAUUACU